AUUGAACGCUGGCGGCAGGCCUAACACAUGCAAGUCGAGCGGUAGAGAGAAGCUUGCUUCUCUUGAGAGCGGCGGACGGGUGAGUAAUGCCUAGGAAUCUGCCUGGUAGUGGGGGAUAACGUUCGGAAACGGACGCUAAUACCGCAUACGUCCUACGGGAGAAAGCAGGGGACCUUCGGGCCUUGCGCUAUCAGAUGAGCCUAGGUCGGAUUAGCUAGUUGGUGAGGUAAUGGCUCACCAAGGCGACGAUCCGUAACUGGUCUGAGAGGAUGAUCAGUCACACUGGAACCGAGACACGGUCCAGACUCCUACGGGAGGCAGCAAUGGGGAAUAUUGGACAAUGGGCGAAAGCCUGAUCCAGCCAUGCCGCGUGUGUGAAGAAGGUCUUCGGAUUGUAAAGCACUUUAAGUUGGGAGGAAGGGUUGUAGAUUAAUACUCUGCAAUUUUGACGUUACCGACAGAAUAAGCACCGGCUAACUCUGUGCCAGCCGCCGCGGUAA
rnacentral:rRNA from 1 species